UGUAAGUGAUCACUGGUUGUAUUGAUUUUAUUGUUCCUUUGUCUCUUGGGUGGUACUUGAACUUAAAGGGGGAAGAUCCGUGAAGUACUAAGGAAUUGGCCUGAGAAGAACAUCCAAGUCAUAGUUGUAACUGAUGGAGAACGAAUCCUGGGUCUUGGUGAUCUUGGUUGUCAGGGAAUGGGAAUACCGAUGGGAAACUUUCUUUAUAUACAGCACUUGGAGGAGUUCGCCCAUCAGCUUGUUUGCCUAUUACCAUUGAUGUGGGUACAAACAAUGAGCAAUUGCUGAAUGAUGAAUUAUACAUUGGGCUAAAGCAAAGACGUGCAACUGGGCAGGAGUACGCCAAGCUUAUGCACGAAUUUAUGACAGCACUCAAGCAAACUUAUGGA